GGACGAACGCUGGCGGUGUGCCUCAUACAUGCAAGUCGAACGAUAAGGUCGUCUUCGGAGAUACAUAAGUGGCGGACGGGUGAGUACAACAUAGGAAAUCUGCCCAGAGAGGGGACAACAGAGGAAACUUCUGCUAAUACCCAUAUGAGCUAACUUGAAAUAGUUAUCGUUGAAAACUCCGGUGCUCUGGGAUGAGCCUGUGCCUGAUUAGCUGGUUGGUGGUGUAAUGGACUACCAAGGCGACGAUCAGUAGCUGGUUUGAGAGGAUGAUCAGCCACAAUGGGACUGAGACACGGCCCAUACUCCUACGGGAGGCAGCAGUAGGGAAUAUUGGACAAUGGGGGAAACCCUGAUCCAGCGGAACCGCCGCGUGAGUGAAGAAGUUAUUCGUAAUGUAAAGCUCUAUCAGCAGGGACGAUAAUGACGGUACCUGACUAAGAAGCACCGGCUAAAUACGUGCCAGCCGCUGC
rnacentral:rRNA from 1 species